rnacentral:tRNA from 1 species
GGAGAGGUGGAUGAGUGGUUUAAGUCGCACGCCUGGAAAGCGUGUAUAGGUUCAUACCUAUCAAGGGUUCGAAUCCCUUCCUCUCCACCA